rnacentral:rRNA from 1 species
GAUGAACGCUGGCGGCGUGCUUAACACAUGCAAGUCGAACGGUAAGGCCUUUCGGGGUACCCGCGUGGCGAACGGGUUAGUAACAGGUGGGUGAACUGCUCUGCACCUCGGGGUAAGCCCGGGAAAUUGGGGCUAAUACCAGAUAGGAACGCCCGGUGCUUGCCGUUUGGCGGAAAGAAUUAUCGGUGCGGGAUGGGCACGCUGCGGAUCAGCUUGUUGGUGGGGUAAUGGCCUACCAAGGCGACGACGGGUAGCCGGCCUGAGAGGGCGACCGGUCACACUACGACUGAGACACGGCCCAGACUCCUACGGGAGGCAGGGGUGGGGAAUAUUGCACAAUGGGCGCAAGCCUGAUGCAGCGACGCCGCGUGGGGGAUGACGGCCUUCGGGUUGUAAACCUCUUUCAGCAGAGACGAAGCGUGAGUGACGGUACCUGCAGAAGAAGCACCGGCUAACUACGUG